GCUAGUUAUAAUUGAAUAAUUGCAUUAUUUAAAAUGAAUAUCUUUUUUUUUUAAAUCACUUUUUAUAUAUUGAAUAGUUUUAUGAAAAAAUUUUGUAAUAAAUUAUAAAAUAAUGGAUACUUGAUGUAUUCUACCAAAGUGAUCGUUUGUCCGUACGGUAUUUUAAGUAUUUAUAAAUAUGUUCGACGUAUGGCCAUGGCUAGAUUAUGGCUAAGGUGUUUCUUUGCUGCUGUGGUAAUAACAACAAUUAUUUUUAUUUAUUCAUUUUUCAAUGUUCCAUCAGUAACUGAACUCAAAUUUUCAGAUGCCAAAGUAUUCAUAAAUAAUAAAUUAGAAUCUUUAAGUUUCUCAGCUCUUCCCAAGACAUCUAAUCAACAUUAUGAUUUCAAUCAAAAAUGCUACACAAUCCACAUUGCCAUGGUUUGUGCAGGAUAUAAUUCCACUAAUUCAUUAAUUACAGUAGUUAAAUCAAUUAUUUUCUAUCGAUCUAAUCCUCUACAUUUUCAUUUUAUUGUUGAUGAAGUAUCUAAUAGAACGUUGAAGGUUUUAUUUGAAACAUGGAAUUUACCCCAAGUGCUUGUUUCAUUUUAUCCAGCAGAAAUAUGGGUACCAAAAGUUGCCUGGAUAAAAAAUAAACAUUACUCAGGUGUAUAUGGAUUAUUAAAAUUAACUCUUUCAGAUAUAAUUCAUGAAGAUAAAGUUUUAGUAUUUGAUACUGAUAUCACAGUAUUAACAGACAUAUCUCAACUAUGGGACAUUUUUGAAAAAUUCAGUCACAAUCAUACACUGGCACUUACAGAAAAUCAAAGUGAUUGGUAUGUAAAAGUUAAUGAAAAAAUUCAACGUCCCUGGCCAGCUAUUGGUAGAGGGUUCAAUACUGGAGUAAUGCUGAUGAAUUUAAAAUUACUUCGUGAUAGAAAAUUCACAGAUUUAUGGAUAGAUACAUCGCGCAAAUAUUUGAAAGAAUUUUAUGAAACUAGUUUAGCUGAUCAAGAUAUCAUCAAUGCUGUUAUCAAAGAUAAUCCAUCCAUAAUUUUCACGCUGGAAUGUACUUGGAAUGUACAGCUGGGAGAUCAUACGAUUAGCGACCAGUGUUAUGAAGAUGCUAAACAAAUACGAAUUUUACACUGGAAUUCACCUCGUAAACAAGAUGUAAAGAAUAAACAUGCAAGAGAUUUCAAUCAAAUGCACAGAGUUUUUUUAGAUAUGAAUGGUAAUUUACUACAGAAACGGCUGUUCAGAUGUGAUAAGACCAAUAGUGCUUUAAUGAUAUAUAAACCAAAUAGCUGUCAGAAAUUCACAAAGAGUGCAGCCCUUACAUAUCGCACUCAUCUUUUUAUUCGUGAAUAUCAAUAUGAUAAUUAUUUAGAAAAGGAUAUUGGCCUCGUAACUCAGUGCAGUGCUGAUAGAAUUAUUUUACUAGAUGAAUUAUUCAAACGUUGGCCAGGAACAAUAAGCGUUGCCGUUUAUCUAACAGAUGCUGAGGUACAAUCCUUUUUAGAUUUUAUUAGUGGAUCAGAUGUUCUAAAGAAUCGAAAGAACAUUGCUUACCAUAUCGUUUACAAAGACGGAGAGUUUUAUCCAAUUAAUUACUUACGUAAUGUAGCAAUAUCACAGAUCCCUACCCCAUAUAUAUUUCAAUUAGACGUCGAUUUUCUACCACCUGUUGAUCUAUAUGAAAAACUCAUGUCAUACAUUCUCAAAUCAAAUACAUCAGAAUUAGAAAAAAAAGCGUUUAUAAUACCAGCAUUCGAAACUCAACGUUAUAGGUUCACAUUUCCUGCUAAUAAAGAUGAACUUUUGAAGUAUUUAACUUACGGAGUACUUUAUACUUUUCGUUAUCAUGUAUGGACAAAAGGUCAUGCAGCAACUAAUUUUAGCUAUUGGAAGACUGCUGUUGAUCCAUAUGAAGUAUCUUGGGAACCAGAUUUCGAACCCUACAUUGUGAUAUAUUGUUCUGCCUAAUGUAUUCAUAAUUCAUCGUCCUCAUGCUCCAAGCUUAGAUAUUGGGAAAUUCCGUACAAAUCCUCUAUACCGCAGGUGCCUUAAAAAGUUAAAAGAUCAAUUUGUUGAGGAAUUAUUAGAAAAGUAUGGAGAUGAGACCCUAUCAAGGCUAAAAAAACUUACCAAAGAAUGAACAAUUUAAUAUCUUGCAAUAU
rnacentral:misc_RNA from 1 species